GUUCCCACAAGCGCAACUCAACUAUGAUAUAUCUGAUAACCUAAAAAAUGGUAAAAUAUUCUAUUUAUACUAAGUAGGAAAAACUGGACAAAAAUACUCCUGCGGGGUCAGCGCGGGCCGCAUUAAAUGGACCUCGGCCGCACUGGGCUCUUUGACUUUGAAUUUUGCUUCUCUGAACUUGGACUCCGCGCACCGCGUAGAAUGGACCGCGACCGCGGACCGUAUGGCAUUGGUUUUGCAAACUUUCAUCUCUCUGAAUCUCAUGACCGCAGACCGCACAAAAGAGUAGUGCGGCCGCGGAGCCUUCAUCGCGGACCGCAAGAUGUGUACCGCGGCCGCGCUUCUUCUAGCCUGGUUUACCAACUCUCUGAACCACCUAGUACGGCCGCAUUCAACUUUGCGCGGUCCGCACUGGGCCUUCUUUCCUUAGACUUCUUGGUCUUUGAUACUUGAGCAGGUUUCACUCCUUUUUGAGCCGAUCUUUGAUAUUUCGCACUUUGUCGAUUAAACCUGCAAUCAAGCACAACUUGUGAGCCUUUUAGGACUAUUUUGUAACAAUAUAUGAUCAAAUCAUAGGCAAGUAGGGGUAUAAAACAUGUUAAAAUCCCAACUUAUCAAGCCUCUCGAGGAUAAAUACAGACUUCUCCGUACCGAUCCGUGAGACUCUACUAAACCUGCUCAUGACUCGUGAGACCUAUGUAACCUAGGCUCUGAUACCAACUUGUCACGACCCUAAAUUCGGACCCGGUCGUGAUGGCACCUCUCGUGAAGACAAGGCUAGCCGACACUUCCCAUUUCAAUUUUUAAUAGUUAAACCAUAAGAAAUAAGUCUAAAGCAUAAAAGUAAAAUCUCAAAGUAACAGAUAAUAGCAUAAUUUGCGGAAUAUAACCCCACACAGCCCGAUACCGGGGUGUCACCAGUCAUGAGCUUCUAUCAAUAUACUACAAGUCUGAAGUGCCUACAAAGUUAUUACAAAAUUACAAAAAGAGAAAGAAAUGAGAUAAAGGGAAGAAACACGAGACUAUGAACGCCAAGCAGCUACCUCGUGGACUCCGAAAUCUGCCGGGAGCUCUUAACUCGCACUGGCAGGAUCUACAAUGGCUGAAUCUGCACACGGGGUGCAGGGAGUUAAGUGAGUACUCCAACUCAGUGAGUAAUAAUCAUAAAUAAAGACUGAAAGCAGGAAAUCACGUAAGGCAUAAUAUAUGCUAUAAUGAAGCAGUAAUACCAUUAAAAACAGUGAAUCAGUAAAAAGACAAAUAAUCAUUUAAGUUCAGUUUAAACUUCGGGAAAUAGCUUUUCAACAAUUAAACAGAUAAUGACAGGCAAUUAAGAAAGAUAAACACAUAAAGGUUCGUCCCUCGGGCACAGUAUCAACAAAUCCGCCCCUCGGGCAAUAUCUCACAACAUUACCAACCCCUAGGGCUAUAUCUCACAUCACAAUAGGUACCCGCCCUCACUGGGGGUGUGCAGACUCCUGGGGACCCCUUACGGCCCAAGCGCAAUAUCAAGCCAUCUUGUGGCGUCAUCACUAGGCUCUCGGCCUCAUAUCAACAAGCCACCUCGUGGCAUACAUAUUUUAGGCCCUCAGCCUCAAAUCAUGAUCAGUGUUUCCUCACAACAUAGGCCCUUGGCCUUACUCAGUCAACAAUCCUCACAAGCUACUCGACAGUAGUAAAACAUGAUUCUUAGCCCAAAUAUCAUUUAAAAGAUCAUUUAAGUGUUAAAAUAUAGUAAACAUGGCCGAGUAUGAAAACAGUGAAAUAUAACAUGACUGAGUUUAAGUAUAAAAUCAAAACAAUGAGGAAAUAUCAAUAGAAAUCCCCGAAAGGUUCAAAUAGUUAACACGAGGCCCAAAUUUGGCAUUCAGCCAAAUAAUGAUGAUAGCAAAUAGAUUUCAGUCAAAUACGCGGUAAAAUAGUCAUUCAGGACGGACUAAGUCACAAUCCCUAACAGUGCACGAACCCACGGUCGUCAUCAAACGUGUGCGUCACCUCAAUAUAGCACAACGAUGUGCAAUCCGGGGUUUCAUACCCUUAGAACAUCAUUUACAAUCAUUACUCGCCUCAAUCCAAUCAAAUCUCUAGCCCGUAAUGCCUUUGCCCCUCGAAUCGGCCUCCACUCGCAUCGAAUCUAUCCAAAAUCAGAAUCACAACAUCAAAAUAUGCUAAGGGAACGAAGCCCAAGCGAAAAUAAUCAAUAUACAACACAAAUCCCGAAAUUACCAAACCUAGCCCGGGGCCCACGUCUCGGAAUUCGAUAAAAUUUAUAAAAAUAGAUUCCUUAUCUCCCCACGAGUUCAUACAUAUCAAAAGUACCAAAAUCUGACCACAAUAGGUCCCUCAAAACCUCAAGUUUAGGUCUCCAAUACCAAGCCCUAGUUUCCCCAAUUUUAACCUUUAAAUUCCAUUAAUUAUAGCUCUAAUCCGUAAAAUAAUACCAUAGGAACGAGUUUUAAGUCCAAAAUCCUUACCUCAAUAAAGUUCCCUUGAAAUCCCUCUUCAAAAUCAUCCAAAAACCUCCAAAGCUGACAUAAAAAUAAUGAAAUAGCUCAAAAAUCGCGAAGGAACAAUUUAUACCUUCUGGCAGAGGCAUUUUUGCAUCUGCAGCCAUAUACCCACUUCUGCGGUACUGCAUUUGCGGCCAAAUAACCGCUUCUAUGGUUUUCACUUAUUCUGCCCCGGUCCGCAUCAGCGAUGCACCAGCCGCACCUGCGCCAAGGCAGGUGCGGUCCACUAACCGCAGCGGUUUCAGCCACCCUAGCUCCAUUUCACUUCUGCGGUUCCCUUCCACGCAUCUGCGACAUCACACAUGCGGUCCUCUAUCCGCAGGUGCGGAAAUACCAAAAGCAACAAAAAUCUGCAGCUCACCAAAAUUCCAAACUUCGCCGUCAACCAUCCAAAAUCACCUCGAGGCCCCUGUGACCUCAACCAAAAGUACAAAUAUGUACCAUAACCUUAUUCAAACUUAUAUCAAUCUUCAAAACACCUCAAACAACAUCGAAUCAACCAAAACGCAUCGGAUUCAAGCCUAAGUUUCCAAAAUCUUUCGAAUUACGCUUUUGAUAAUAAAAAUCCAACCAAACCACGUCCGAAUGACAUGAAAUUUUGCACACACCUCCCAAAUGAUACAACAGAACUACUGCAACUCUCAGAAUUCCAUUCUAACUCCUAUAUCAACAUCUCACCUACCAACCGGAAAUCGUCAAGAUAUCAACUUUGCCAAUUCAAGCCUAAAUCUACUCCGAACCUCCAAAACUCAUUUCGAUCACCCUCCUAAGUCCCAAAUCACCUCCCGAAGCUAUCCGAACCAGAACUUACAUCCGAUCCCUCUAACACAUAAGUCAACAUCCGGUUGACUUUUCCAACUUAAGCUUCCUCAAAAGAGACUAAGUGUCUCAAACCUUACUAAAUCCUUUCCGAACCCGAGCCAACCAACCCAAUCACAUAUAAAACCGAUAGACAAAGCAGUAAGAAGUGAAAUGGGGGAAACGGAGCGGUAACUCAUGAGACGACUGGCUGGAUCGUCACAAUUUCAUCUUCUUGGAUUUAACUAGGUGCUUUUCAAAUUUUCCUAAAAAUGAAUCACUUCUUUCUAUCCCCAACCUCAUGGUUAGACAUGGAUGAGCUUUACAAUUAUGUUAUCUCUCCCCUUUGAGGAUGCAAAUCUAAACGGUCACUCUUAGGCAAGUAAACAAGAAAAUGAAGAAAGCACAGAGAUAAGACCAAUAGUCUGACAAAUCUUUGGUUGAAUCAAACUGUUGCUUUCAAUAAAUAAUCAUUUUUAAUAACUAGUUGCUUUGAACAAUAUCAACACAACUUGAGCAAAUGAAAAUGGCGAAGUACAGUAAGUGUUCCAGAUUGAAAAGUAUGGCACUUGCGCCUAAUUCAACCCAAAAGCACUAUUACUGAACAAUAAUGUUUACCUGGAUAGCGCAAUGAGACUCCUGUCUUUGUAUCAUCUUAUACUUAAUUCAAUUUAACGUAAUUUAGUGAUAAUAAUUCUUUUCCUCAAGGAUGAUAUCUGCUUCUGUCGGAUCCAUUUUUUAGCAAUAUAUACAUAUAAUGUAAACACACAGAAGUACUCAGAGAUACACACACAUAGAGGAAAGUCAUCUGGUGUUCUUUACAUUUUUGUAUACCUUUUAUUUCUACCAUCAACAUUUAGCUUUAAAGUCAAUAACCUUAGAUGGACAUAAAAGGAAAAGUAAAAACUUGUAAGUAACAGUUUGCAGUAGCCUUCCCAAGAAUUGGAGCAUGUAAUUGUAAUCUUCCUGUAAUGAUCAUUUCAAUAUUAAUCAAGUAAUUACUUAACCAGCCUACUAAGACAAACAAACUAAUGUGUGUUUAAUUACUUAACAGACUCACUAAGAUAGAUUCUGAUGCCAUGUCAUUUCCUUAGAUGGUUGUCCUUGCUUUAUUUUUAUAUCAUGAAGAGCUCUCUGUGUGACUUUUAAAUUAAAGAGCAUGAAAAUUCAAAACUCUAUUCCAUGCAAACCCCAACUCAAAAAUUCAGAACUCUAUUCCAUGCUCAAUGUCUUAGCCUACAAGAUUUUAUAGUUCACAAACAUGACUACUAUCAUAUGCUUUUUCGAUAUUUUGCCUACAUCCAAAGCUGUAAUUUUCUUGUCUUCAGCUUCUUGUCUUUCUUCUUUUAAUUUCUAAUUUGAACAUCAUUUUUUCUUGCUCUUUUUGUUCUUCUUCAGAAUUGUAAUAUGGCAAGGUCAUAGCUUGAACUGAAUCAUAGAAAUGCAAAUGCUAGAAGAGCAUGAAUUAUGUAAUUACUUGUAACUAUAUCCAAAUAAUUUUCCAAACUCACCUUUAAUAAAUUUAACAUCACACUCGUGUUACCUUCGACACCAUAACAGGUGGAGAAAGUAAGAUGACUCAGAAUUUCUUACUCCAUAAGGAUUAAUGAUACACGAUUAUCUAAUAAAAUAAGGAAUAAACAAAAAAGUCAAAGAAUUGUGUAAGCUAAAUGACCACAUAUGUACCAAUAACAUUAAGCUGAAAAUACUAACAUGAAGUUGGAUUAUGCUGCAAUGGAAGGGAACUGAGGACAUAUGUAUUUUUCUUUUACUGAAAUACCAUUAAGAAAAUGGUAUUUUCUAAAUAGAACAGAAUUAACAAACAAGCAAAUUGUGCACUACGAAGGUGAGACAGAAGCAACAAUAUCAUGAUAUUUCAGAAAUAAAAGAUAAAUCAACGUGCACUUUGAUCCAUUCAUGGUUUUUAGCAGCCUUAGUAGAUUCCUGUUUACUGGGAAUUAGGAAAGUAUUAAUGUCUAAGACAGAGUAUGUGCUCUUCUUUAAAAAUUAAAAAUUCCAAGGCGAAUCGAUUCAUCUGGGAUUGGAUAAACAAUUUUCUUUCACACUCUCUCAGAUGUUAACAGAGUGUAAAGGAAUGAGGUACUAAUUGUCUAAGAUUUUUUUUUCUCAAAAAAUAAAAUAAUAUAAAUACUUAGUAAAAUAAUGAUUCUUCCCAAAGUUAAAAAUCAUCUACAAUUAAAAAUUACUUGUAUUACAACCAGAAUUUAGUAAUAAUUUAAUGCAUCUAACAAUUAAUCCAAAAUUUACUUUACUUUGAAUUCAAUGAAUAGCCCUAUACAUGAAUAAAAUAUUAUAAGAACCAAAAUUGGACGGGGGACAUAAAGCAAACUUUUCAUGAACAAAUAGAUCCAAUACCACAAAUAACAAGCAAUAGAUCCAAUACCAUAAAUAACAAGCAAUAGAUAAACUUCUCAUGAAAUUGGCAAUUAAAACUAGAAGUGUGAAACUGUUGACCUUCAAUCCAAUCUCUUAUUACAGAAUCCUUCGAGGAAAUAAUAUUACAUUCAUGUUGUGCCAACAAUAGAAAAAAGUCCAUUAAAAAAAGGAACAAGAAUCUGGAAAAGCUUUAAAACAAAAAACUUAUGCAAGGAAUAAGAAUCUGGACAAAUAAAAAUCUUAUGUAAGGAACAAGAAUUUGGACAACAAUAAAACAAAAAACUUAUGCAAAGUUGCUUUCCGAAGCAUAUGGAAUUAUAGGAGAAAAAAGCGCAAAUCCUACUCUGGCGUAGAAGAAUUUAAGAUACUCAUACCCAAUUAAGUACUUCACUGAUAAAAGACAAUCACAGAAAUUGAUAUUUCCAUAAUUUAGUGUAGCAGCAAUCGAGUAAAGCAAUUGAAGAUAGAGUUCUUACUGUUCUUCUCCGAUCAGCAGCAACAGGUCUUGUGACCGUUCUUUUUCGAUCAGCAGCAGCAGGACGCAACAGGGGAGGAACUCUUUGAAUUAGAACUGAUAAGAAAAACCUGAGAAAGAAUAGUUACUAGAGAGUGGGGUAAAAAUCCGGGAAAAGCAAUUAAAAGGCUUUUGGCUUGCCGCGUUUGAUUUUGGCGAAAAAUUGGAAAGACUUAGGCCACAAUCCAC
rnacentral:lncRNA from 1 species